ensembl:snRNA U6 U6 spliceosomal RNA
GUGCUCACUCCAGCUGCACGUGCACUAAACUAGAAUGAUACAGAGAUGCGUACAGCCCUUGCACAUAGAUGACAUGAUAAUUCAUGAAGCAUUGCAUAUUUUU